GAUGAAGAACGCAGCGAAAUGCGAUAAGUAAUGUGAAUUGCAGAAUUCAGUGAAUCAUCGAAUCUUUGAACGCACAUUGCGCCCGCCAGUAUUCUGGCGGGCAUGCCUGUUCGAGCGUCAUUACAACCCUCAGGCCCCCGGGCCUGGCGUUGGGGAUCGGCGGAGCCCCCCGUGGGCACACGCCGUCCCCCAAAUGCAGUGGCGGUCCCGCCGCAGCUUCCAUCGCGUAGUAGCUAACACCUCGCGACUGGAGAGCGGCGCGGCCACGCCGUAAAACACCCAACUCUUCUGAAGUUGACCUCGAAUCAGGUAGGAAUACCCGCUGAACUUAAGCAUAUCCGGAGGA
rnacentral:misc_RNA from 1 species